rnacentral:rRNA from 1 species
UACGGAGGGAGCUAGCGUUGUUCGGAAUUACUGGGCGUAAAGCGCACGUAGGCGGCUUUUUAAGUCAGGGGUGAAAUCCCGGGGCUCAACCCCGGAACUGCCCUUGAAACUGGAAAGCUAGAAUCUUGGAGAGGCGAGUGGAAUUCCGAGUGUAGAGGUGAAAUUCGUAGAUAUUCGGAAGAACACCAGGUGGCGAAGGCGGCUCGUGGA